rnacentral:rRNA from 1 species
GACGAACGCUGGCGGCGUGCCUAAUACAUGCAAGUAGAACGCUGAAGCGAGGAGCUUACUCUUCUUGGAUGAGUUGCGAACGGGUGAGUAACGCGUAGGUAACCUGCCUUGUAGCGGGGGAUAACUAUUGGAAACGAUAGCUAAUACCGCAUAACAAUGGAUGACACAUGUCAUUUAUUUGAAAGGGGCAAUUGCUCCACUACAAGAUGGACCUGCGUUGUAUUAGCUAGUAGGUGAGAUAAUGGCUCACCUAGGCGACGAUACAUAGCCGACCUGAGAGGGUGAUCGGCCACACUGGGACUGAGACACGGCCCAGACGCCUACGGGAGGCAGCAGUAGGGAAUCUUCGGCAAUGGGGGCAACCCUGACCGAGCAACGCCGCGUGAGUGAAGAAGGUUUUCGGAUCGUAAAGCUCUGUUGUAAGUCAAGAACGGGUGUGAGAGUGGAAAGUUCACACUGUGACGGUAGCUGACCAGAAAGGGACGGCUAACUACGUG